CCUACGGGAGGCAGCAGUGAGGAAUAUUGGUCAAUGGAGGGAAGGCUGAACCAGCCAAGUCGCGUGAAGGAUGACGGUGCCAAGCAUUGUAAACUUCUUUUGUCAAGGGACAAACUCAGGCACGAGUGCCUGAUUGAGGGUACUUGAAGAAUAAGCAUCGGCUAAUUCCGUGCCAGCAGCCGCGGUAAUACGGAGGAUGCGAGCGUUAUCCGGAUUUAUUGGGUUUAAGGGGUGCGCAGGCGGACCGUUAAGUCAGUGGUAAAAGCCCGGGGCUCAACCCCGGCGAGCCGUUGCAACUGGCGGGCUUGAGAUGUCGAGAGGUAUGCGGAAUGCGCGGUGUAGCGGUGAAAUGCUUAGAUAUUACGCAGAACUCCGAUUGCGAAGGCAGCAUACCGGCGGCGUUCUGACGCUGAGGCACGAAGGCGUGGGUAUCGAACAGGAUUAGAUACCCUAGUAGUC
rnacentral:rRNA from 1 species